rnacentral:lncRNA from 10 species
GGGCGGACACCACUUGUUCUGGCUACUCAGAUGAGUAGGCCAACAAUAUGUCAACUGCUGAUAGAUAGAGGAGCGGAUGUUAAUUCCAGAGACAAACAAAACAGGGAGAGAACUUUGGAAGAAAGGGCCAUCUUUGCAACAGGUAGAUAUUAAUUUUAAUUUUAAAUAAUUAUAUGUAUUGUAUAGUUUAAAGUGCUUAGUAAAACUAGUUAAUAGUUAGCAUAACUAUUCUGAGUUUAAAUGCGUUCUAUCUCUCUUCUCAGUUAAUCAAGCCCGUGUAGAUUCUGGAUACUUAGAUCAUGAGGUCCUAUCAAGAUACUAUCACUUAGCUUGAGACACAUUAGAUCUCAGUUUCAAUGAAGGUAUCCAGUGGGAAAGAGAUAGCCUCCUGAUUAGGGCCGUGAGCAUUCAGUUUUUUCAAGUAGGAGACAUUGUAACUUGCUAAAUGAUGAACUUUAGCUUGGCAGAUCAUAGACAGUUUCCCCCAGUCUCCCUUAAUAACAGGACAAAAUAUUGACUGUUAUGGGAAAAUUCUUCCAGUGUAAUUAAGAAAUGAAGAAAACAGAGUUCUAAACUGAUUAUAUAUUGUGAUUUCAAUGCCACUGUUAGUGUUUUUAUUUCUUCUUCAGUCUUUUUUUCUGUGUGUAUUUAAUUGAGGACUUUACGGAAUAACAACACUUGAAAUAAUUCAUGCUUUGCACUACAUUUAUUAUUAAAUUACUAUUUAACCCUGUUUUGAUAUCCUGGUUGUGAAAUGUCUUAUGUUUUCUGCUAAUCUAUUUGUGUUAAAGUAAGCAGGGUUGGUUUACAGUACCGUGGCUCAAAAGCUAGUGUAGGCAGCUUUCCUCUCCUGCUGACUGUUCCCUUCCAGGCUUUCAGCUUUUCUCUAGUGAGAGGAACCUAAGCAUUUGCAAACCCUGAAGAGAAAGUAAUCAGGUACCUUGAGCAAUUCUGAUCAUCAUCCUGUGUCAUUUUUGUACCUCUCACCUGAAUCUGAAAGCUACAUUUUUUAAAAAUUUUGCUUUAAGUUCUGAGAUACAUGUGCUGAAUGUGCCAGUUUGUACAUAGGUAUACAUGUGCCGUGGUGGUUUGCUGCACUUAUCAUGAAAGUUAUAUUAAAGCUUGUUUUCCUUUUCAAUCCAUCUGAAUUAAUAUGUUCAUAUAUGGGUCAUGUCUGUUGACACUUUUCCAUCUGGAGCAACUGUUCCAGCCUUCUUCCCUGUGCCUCAUAUAACCUAAGUGUGAGUAGAGUGAAAAAAAAUGUACACUGCUAUGACUGUACUAGCCAUCUCACACAGAAUCAGAGAAAAAUGAUUUCUG